AGAGUCCUGAGGUGUACGUGCAUAACUGUACGUUUUGAGCCAACACUUUUGAAUAAGGGAGCUUGUUGUCUCCUCAUGGAUUACAUGCCCUUUCUCAUAGAUGAGGGACGUAAGAAGUGAUGAGCAGAGCACCCACCUGCCGAGGGCAGGUUCAAAACCAAAGUUUUCGACGGCACAUUUGGGACUCUU
rnacentral:other from 18 species